UACGAGUGCCUCGAGCGUUAUCCGGAAUCAUUGGGCGUAAAGGGUGUGUAGGUGGUUAUGUUAGUCUCGCGUAAAAUGCUUCGGCUCAACCGAAGUUCCGCGUGGGAAACGGCAUGACUUUGAGGACGGGAGAGGUCUCUGGAACUCAUGGUGUAGCGGUGAAAUGCGUAGAUAUCAUUUGGAACGCCAAUGGUGAAAACAGGUAGCUGGGGCUGUGCUGACGCUGAGACACGAAAGCCAGGGGAGCAAACGGG
rnacentral:rRNA from 1 species